CCAAUAUUGCACUCGUCCCGGCCUCCCGGACCCAGGGGAUUCCAUCUUCAACAGAGGAACUCAGAAAGGUUGUUAUCCUUUUUUCUCCUCCCCCAAUAUAUGAAAGAGCACUUUAAGGGCUACUUUAAUUCAAAAUCACUACAGCACAUUUUAUUACAGCACAUUUUUUUUGAAUUAUUUAGAGAUGCAUAUUUCUGAAUUUUGUAACACAUACCCACCCAUAACUAUGUCUCAAGACCAAGGUGAUUGCUGGGUAUGUAAUUGGCCCGUACUGACCCAAUUAAUGUUUCGUCAAUAAAGCACGAUGGGGGGUGUGGUAUAGGGUCAAUAUACUACAGCUGUGGUCUGAAUACUCCCCAGCUUUUAGCCAAUCAGUAUUCAGGAUUAAAAGCACCUGGUUUAUAAUUAUAACAAACGCAUGGCAUGCUAUUGGAGAAUCCCAGGGAAUAUAUUCAGCAUAGUUGGUAACCCUCUGCUUCCAACCGCUCCCACUGUCCCCACCUGACCACUGGCUGGCUAGCUGCCACUUGAGAACUUUUGCCAACUCCAACAAGGCUUGAUUCCAACCCACUAAGUAUUUCCUUUGCCUCGGCCCUUGUGGCCUCAUGCUGAAAUUUCCCACAUAUUGGGUUCGAAAGCAAUGCAGUAUUGCACCAAUUCUGGCCAAAAAACUGGGAUGACUAUUUCAGUAGCCCAUUUUGCAUCUCACACUUGAGAGAGAAUGUUUGCAAGGAUAGAGCAAAGAUAAUUAAUAAUAUGACUGGAACCGAGCAACAAUAGUCUGCAGUCAUAACAGGAACCUACAAUGUGCUUUAGGUGUAGGGGUCAAUUGUAUGACAUGCCAUAGAAUAAUGCUAUCUUACUGGCAUUUCAAACACUCAUUUGUUUUCAGUGCUGUCCUUAGCAGGGUAACUUGUAUAUUUCGGUUUUUUACUACAGUGAAAGGUAACACUUUAUUAUAUAGCAGUUUAACCACCCGUUCAUAUGGUGUUCUUGUUGAGUUAUUAAAGUCUUACUACAAUAGCGGCAUAAUAGCAAGGUCAUUGUGGGACAGAUUAUAAAUCAAAUUAAACAUUGCAUGUACAUGGACUUCUAUGUCUAGCAAAUAAGAUACAAGCAGACAGCAAGGAAAUGCUAGGCAAUAGAUACAGGUGGUACCUGUCUCCACAUACAGGAUGUGGGCACAGAACAGCAUUAAAACUCACAGUAGCUCUUGAUAUCAAUCUAGUUUUUAUAAGCAUAAUUUUCCAUUUGCAUGUUGUGUACAGUAUCACAAAUUUCAAAUAAAUGUAUUUUAAGAAAUGUAAUCGUUUAUACUUUUUUGUAGACAAAGACUGUGUUGCUCUUUGCUAUGCUCCUGUUUAAUGAAUUAGCUAGAGAUUACAUAGUUCAUAAAAACAUUUACUUUAAGGCUUUAUUCCAUGUUAAAUUACUGGUAAAACUAUAAUCCACAGAGGUCCAAAAUUAUUCAAAACAAGAAAACGCUGAAGUUCCACUAUUAGAGGCAUGAAGUGACAUAUCUACAUUUCUUUUGUGACAAAUAUGUAUUCCGCUGCUGUGACAUCAUUAUCUGGUAAUGAAAGUGUUUCCGGAGCAUGUACAGUAUUUAUCCAAUUCCAAUCCCUGUAACGUUAGCUUAUGCUUCUUGUACAGUUACUUAGUUUUUUUAAAAACUCUCAAACCGUUCCAUCUUAAAAUCAUCAGUGUGUUCCUCUGAUAGCUGGAAACACAGCACUCAUACGUAAUGCAACUGUCAAACUCAACAGAGGUCAUUCACACAACCACAAUUUAUAUACAGUACAACAGGACUGAGGGCAAAGACUGCAACUCAAACCCAGCAGUCAAAAAUGUUAUUUAUAAUGAUAAUGUAUAAUCUCUGGUAACCUUCCGCUUUUCCAGUUUGAUGGAAAGUUAAGGAUGUAAAUAACUGGUUCUUUUUACACCUUUAUCACAACUCAGAAACCUCUCCCACUUUGCUCAUUGGCAGACAGUCACACACACUUAACAGCAGUGGGCCGUCUGAAUAGUUCCUCACAGGAUGACGAUUCACAGUGGUCACGCUCCACUACUACGGCUGGCGGCAGGGUGAGGAUGGGAGUCUUACCGUUGCAGCGAUAACGCAGAUUGGACCAGAUAAUGUUCUCUUGGGAAAAACAGAAGACCCCAAGUCGUCCACCUCUCAUGGUAGUGUCGAUCACCACAUCGGAGUCGGCAACCAUCUCUGUCCCCUCAUACAACUUCACCCUGAAGCCAGGCACGGGACAAAACACCAACUAAAAACCUGAGGCCAAUUUAAACACGGUGGCAAGGAAACAACAGUUCAAAUGGAUGAUUUGGAUGAACAUGGAGGAGCGAAGCAGGCCCGGCCCAGCCCCUGGUCCCGACCAGCGCCUGAGAGCAGUGCUGUAGUGCUCCAUUGACUCCCCUGCACAGCAUACAAAGCAGGUGUCCCUCUGUUUGGAUCUGAAUAGGACCUCCCUGCCUCUAAGAAGGCCUGGUUUUCUCUCUCCACUCACUGCAGCCCACCACCACCUCCUCAGACAUCAACCUCCCCCAAACUCUCUCUUCUCUGGCUUUUUGGAACAAUUUUUUUUUGGAGAUGCUCAAAACAUUUGAAAAUGUGUCAGUGAUGUUUUUAGUCUGAUAAAGAUGUUUUUGGUAACUAUGUGCAUAA